rfam:Bombyx mori DNA, contig: Bm_scaf2_contig1585, strain: p50T/Dazao, build 2, whole genome shotgun sequence.
UGAACUCAAAUUUGUAUGGAGUUGGACAGCGUUCCUACGUUUGCCACUAGGGGCACUGUUCCAACUCCAUACAAAAUUGAGUAA